rnacentral:rRNA from 1 species
UGGGGAAUAUUGCACAAUGGGCGAAAGCCUGAUGCAGCGACGCCGCGUGAGCGAAUAAGUAUUUCGGUAUGUAAAGCUCCAUCUGAAGGGAAGAAAAUGACGGUACCAUAGAAGAAAGCCCCGGCUAAUUACGUGCCAGCAGCCGCGGUAAUACGCAAGGGGCGAGCGUUGUCCGGAAUUAUUGGGCGUAAAGCGUGCGUAGGCGGCAAAUUAAGUCAGAUGUGAAAACUAAGGGCUCAACCCAUAGAUUGCAUCUGAAACUGGAAUGCUUGAGUCAAGGAGAGGAAAGUGGAAUUCCUAGUGUAGCGGUGAAAUGCGUAGAUAUUAGAAGGAAUACCGGUGGCUAAGGCAACUUUCUGGACUUAAACUGACGCUGAGGCACGAAAGCGUGGGGAGCAAACAGG